GCGAGAAGCCCAGCAGAGGAAGGCGCUGCUGCAGAGAUUCCCCAGGAUAGGCCCUGGAAGGCAGCAGCGAGCCUGGAGGGACGCCACAGAAUCCUGUGACUAUGUGAGGGUGAGUGUCCCCCGUCCCUGCUCUCGUUCUCUCCUGGGGACGGGGAUGUGACGGGCUUCCCGGCCCUCCUGGCUGAGGAAGGGGGUCCACCCCGAUUCUCAACAUUGGGAUUUCCGUGCGGGUCCUUUCCAGCCACGUUUGCUGGGUGUCCAUGAUCCGGCAGGAUUCCUUGCAUGUGUGCUAACCGGGUGCCGGGUGGGCGUGCCAACAUCAUUUCGGGACGCUGUGCCCACACCUAGGCCUCUUGGGAGGCACAGGCAUCUUUCCCUGGUGACACAUACACCCGCCCCAUUGGCCAUCCAAACUCAGUACUCCCCCCCCCCCCCCGAACAUCCACCUGCAGGACGCCUGUCCUUUCCCUAGAAGCCUGAAUGGAGGUGCUUGUCCACUUCGGGAGGCAGGCACGAUGCACAACCUUUCUGGUCCGUCGCUCCCGUGGAAUCAAAGCAUCAAGGGGCUACUGCCCAGUGUUUCUUCCCAAUCGACGCUGAGCUGGAGGCCCUUGUCCUCUGUCAGUACAAUCCUUUCCCAUCUCUCCCGGUUGUUUGCGUUUCUGUCUGUUUCUUUGCUGUGCUUGUCGUGCAUGUGUCCUUGGUGGGCGGGAAGGACUGAUGGCCGUUGUCUGUGUGUUGUGUGUUCCCACAGCAUCCGCACAGGCCGAUGCCCGUGUACACCACCAAGAGGGUGUCCGUGCUGGCGCUGCACAUCCCGGCUGAGCCUCCCAGCGGGACGCCUGACACGACACAGCUGUCCCCGUCGGCUGCUCCUCUCGGGAGACCUGCGGCGAGCACCUUCCCGCCUGCUGGCCGACAGGAUGCCCAGCAAGUGGGGACCCCAGCCCCGCCUGCCCCGCCUGCCCCGGCACACCAACGCUGUGCCCAGGAUCCAGGCCUCGGUGUCCAGCCGAGACAACACCGGCCCCGAUGUGCCUCCCUGGAAGCUUCCAGGGCUGUCUCUAAGGUGCGUGGCAUUGGCCACGCCCAGGCACCAGCCAAGCGUCCUGAGGCACCCGGCCAGCCCCUGCGAAUGAUCUUCAGCCGCCUGGACAAAGGCGGCUGGAGCUCCAGGUUCAUAGCAGCUCCCUGUCUGCCACCUCCCGAGAGGCCAGUCCCCCCUGGCCAGGGCCCGCCCGUCACACACCAGUCUGAGGGAGGCUGUGUGCCUGUCUCCCGGAGCAUCCUCCACGAUGACCUGCAGCUUUCCUCGUCCUCGGAGGAGAGCGACCGGGAGUGAGACACCUCAUGUCCUCGGACACUCGUCCUCUGGCUCUUGUGACCCCGAGCAGGUGACUGCGGAGCGGCGGGCAAGGCAGGGCCGUGACCUAUUUUUGCUAAAGCAGCAAUUCCCCCAAAGACCUGCAAGGACAAAAGCUUGCGUCCACACCGUGUUUGGUGUCCUGCUUGGGGCGGGGAGUGGGUUGAGCGCCCACGUGCAGACGCUCAUGGCGCACUUUUCCUUUAUGCAUCUACACCUUCUGGUUCACCUGCUCCGUCUCAAUCAACAAGGUCUCGUUUCUUUCGUUUCAAUAGAUUCUAUGAGAAAUCCAGCGCCAGGAGAGCAAGAGGUCGUCCACUCGAAUGUAAAGUUAAGGAUCUGUGAAAUGAACGUGUAGUGGGUUUGCGAAUGUCUGAAUUUGGGGGCGCCGGAGGAAUGAUUCCGGUCCGGGCUGGGCAAGUGGAGGCAAUCUUUUGUUUUAGAACAGUUCACUGAUACCGUUUUUCUGCAGAUCAUAUCGGGGAAUAUUUUACAUGCUGUCUGCGUUUUUGUUUUUCCCUGAUAGUGCAACGUUGUGUGUAGUGUUACCACAGCUAAUAAAAUUUGCUCAGACACGACCGAAUGUGCA
rnacentral:lncRNA from 1 species